GGCACCAAUUGGCCGACCAUGCCCACGUGCUGGGUGUCUGUCACCCUUGUUGCGCCUCUGGGAAGGCCUGAGAGAAGGGCCGAGCAUCACCUUAGCAGGGUGCCGCCUCCUGGAGGUGGGUGAGUCCCCAGCGAUACGGGUCCCAGCGAAGUCCGAGAUUGGGCAGGAGAAGCUGGAAACGGGGGAACUCCUACCAUCCACUCUUUCCUGCCACUUCAGUGCU
rnacentral:lncRNA from 1 species